AUCGUUCAGACCGUUCAUUCGACGUCUUUCGCGUGCGUUCGCUGCCAAACGUCGACGUUUUAAUACACUUGGCGAUGGCGGUAUGUCCCUAGAUCGUCGUCUUCCUCUUCGGGGACUAUUGAGACGCAAGGAAACACGGAACGAAGCGGGCAAUCGUGUGUCAUCAGCGGGCAAGGGCGAUAAUGAAGAGAGAAGAGGAGUCGGCGAUCCUCGCGGUGUAAAGGCUCGAGUUUGAGUGUGGCGCGUGCCACGGCGUCCUUCACCGCAUCAACAUAUGGUGCCUUCGUAACGGAGACUGAAAAAAAAUAAUAACAAAUGUAUCCUCGUUGCGAAUAAAAAGAAGAAACAAAAGAGAAAUUUAUACAUAUACUUACGUUCAUUCAAUCAGUUCGACUGAGAUCUCUGCAUUAGAACGAAAGGAGAGUUUAAACGAAGGGAAAAUUAUUGGAAUGCAACGGUCGAGACGAAUCGCCUUGGGACAAUUAGAGAUAUCGAUCGGGAUCUCUAUCCAUGGUUGCCGGCGCGUGCCCCGCGCCA
rnacentral:lncRNA from 1 species